CCAGAGUCCUCUCUCCCAGCCCUUAUGGACUUAAUAGAUGAGUAUGGCAGAAUCUCAUACUACAAACUUAACAAAUCCAAAACGCAGGCGCUACCAAUCAACCUGCCCCACACACUGUUACAAACUCUAAAACAACAACACGACCUAGACUGGAGGUCCGACCACAUCUCAUAUCUAGGGAUAGCAUUAACAAAAAACCCUACCAAU